AUGCUUUCCGGGGGCAGGCGAGCACUUCAGAGCAUCUGCCGCGGCUGUAGCGCAGCCGAUAAGGACAGAGAGCUAAUUAAGAUCUUAGCUGUUUCUUCAGGGAGAUAUAUAUACAUAUAUAUAUAUUGGUGGGUUUUUAAUCAGUGUCCCCCUCUCCUUUGCUGCUGUCUUUGCCACGGUGACUCUGUCUUUCAUAAGGGUGGAUUUCUUCGAACAGUAAGUUGGCCGCCUCAUUUCCUCUUCGGGAGACGGCUGUCAUCUCUCCUGCUUCAACGGGUGCCGGCAAAGGUGCGGAAGCUAGAAAUAUUACUUCUUUCAAGAACUCUUUGCUAGCAUUCCCUUCUGGAACUUGUAGUUCAAAAGCAACAUUCCUAACCUCUUUCCUGCCGUCAUGUGACAGUAAUCAUCCAACCAAACUGAAACAGAAGGACACGUUGGAAACAGGAUGAUUUCAUUGGAGCUGGGGGAGCAGGAAAAUGGGCCAAUUUCUCCUUCUCCUGCAUCCAGAUUUUAAAAAUCACCAGUUCUCUCAGUUCCCAUUAUAUGGGAAUCACAAAUUUGGCAAAUUCUUCAAAACAACAUCCGCCGAGCCUCAGAGUUCUAGUUCGAAACAGUAACUUCUCUAGAACUGAGUAUUCAACAACACGUGAAAAGACCCAGGUAACCCACACUUCGAACGAAGGUUGGCUAACUCUCGCUUUCCCAACGGGCAACGAAGCUGAAUGACAGAGAAAAAACAAGAGAAAGUCCUUAAGUGUAGACGUCUUUUAAAGAGAGACCCAGGUAACCCACACUUCGAACGAAGGCUGGCUAACUCUCGCUUUCCUAACGGGCAACGAAGCUGAACGACAGAGAAGAAACAAGAGAAAAUCCCUAGAAGUCUUUUAAAGAGAUUUUUUAAGUCAUUUGGAGACUGAUCUGAAGAUACAAGUAUAUUAUUUAUUUCCCCUGUAAUUGUGUACUAUCUGCUUUAAUAAACAUUUGACUCGGCCUCUUCUGUGCCA
rnacentral:lncRNA from 1 species